rnacentral:rRNA from 1 species
UACGUAGGGGGCAAGCGUUGUCCGGAAUCAUUGGGCGUAAAGAGCGUGUAGGCGGCCAGAAAAGUCCGCUGUGAAAACUCGAGGCUCAACUUCGAGCUGUCGGUGGAAACUUUCUGGCUAGAGUCCGGAAGAGGAGAAUGGAAUUCCUGGUGUAGCGGUGAAAUGCGCAGAUAUCAGGAAGGACACCCGUGGCGAAGGCGGUUCUCUGGGACGGUACUGACGCUGAGACGCGAAAGCGUGGGGAGCGAACAGG